ACCGCCCAAGAGUUCAUAUCGACGGCGGUGUUUGGCACCUCGAUGUCGGCUCAUCUCAUCCUGGGGCUGUAGCCGGUCCCAAGGGUAUGGCUGUUCGCCAUUUAAAGAGGUACGUGAGCUGGGUUUAAAACGUCGUGAGACAGUUUGGUCCCUAUCUUCCGUGGGCGCUGCAGAUUUGAGGAAGCCUGCUCCUAGUACGAGAGGACCGGAGUGGACGAACCUCUGGUGUACCGGUUGUCACGCCAGUGGCAUUGCCGGGUAGCUAAGUUCGGAAGAGAUAACCGCUGAAAGCAUCUAAGCGGGAAACUCGUUUCAAGAUUAGAUCUGCCGGGGCCUUGAGCCCCCUAAAGAGUCGUUCAAGACCAGGACGUUGAUAGGUCAGGUGUGGAAGCGCAGUAAUGCGUUAAGCUAACUGAUACUAAUUGCUCGUGCGACUUGACCCU
rnacentral:rRNA from 1 species